rnacentral:lncRNA from 1 species
ACCAACUCAAUGGAUAUGAGUUUGAGUAAACUCUGGGAGUUGGCGAUGGAUAGGGAGGCCUGACGUGCUGCUAUCCAUGGGGUUGCAAAGAGUUAGACACGGCUGAGUAACUGAACUGAACUUAAUCCUUGAGCCUCAAUUUCCUCAGGUUUCAAAUGGGCAUCACAACAAAACCAACUUCAUAGAGUUGGAGAUAACCUUCCACCCAGAACCUGAUCAUCACAUGUGAGAUAACACAUCCAAAGUUACUAACUCAGAAACUCGAACCAAGUUGUGUCUAGUUCAGUCUAUAAUUGAUCUAAAGUGCUGGAAAAAUGCCUCACCAGUUCAAAAGGCACUGGUCAUUAAGGGAUUUGAGUCACUGAAGAAUGGAAAAACCUGUUGGUACAAGUUUCAGACCUAGAGUAACUUGGACUGACCUGUCUGGCUCUUUCACCUAACUUGGCUGCUGAUUCUCAAAGAUGUAAACUUGAGGGGUACUGGUUAUUUCUUAAAAGAACCUCACUGGCACUAAAAGCAGGAAGAAUCAAUUCAACAAAGAAGAGAAACUCACAAACACUCUUUAAAUCAAUUCAACAAAGAAGAGAAACUCACAAACACUCUUUAUACUUUUCCAAAAGAUUCUUCUAAGAAAGUCAGUUUCUGUAAUACUAUGCGUUAACAUGGGUAGUUUACCCUGAAUUUGCAAAACUCACCAUGUUUUUUGAGUUAAUAAAUUUCACAAAAUGUUUAUUAAAAAUGUUUUCUUUUUUAUAAAUAUUUUCAUGGAAACUUACUCAAACCUUUGAAAUAACAGAGAAUAUCACAAAAAUGUUUAACAGAGACCAAUAGUAUUUUAAACAUAUUUCCUGAAAGAAACAAUAUCCCUUAGAAAAGAUAUAGGGUACUUACCUAUCUAGAUUUUAACAAAAUAUUCUUUAUAGAAAUGGGUUAUAAUCUUUACCACAGAAACACCAAAUCUGCACCUAAUCAGGAGAGAGAAUUAAAUAAACCAGCUCUCAUUCACUUUCUCCAUCGGAAGACAUCCAUUU